GUGACGGCCUCGACCACCUCCUUCUUGUUGAUCUCUGCAAGAGAAUGAAGCCAUUAAUAAUGUGUAAUGUAAAUCAUCAUGGAAAGGAGUAAGAUUUCGACAGUUGAUGGACGAAUGUGGAUACUUACUGGAACCAGGACGAUCGGCCUCGCGCACAAUGUGCGUCAUGCCGGCCUUGUAGCCGAUGAAGCAGGUCAGAUGGACUGGCUUGCUGGCGUC